AUUGAACGCUGGCGGCAGGCCUAACACAUGCAAGUCGAGCGGAGCGGCGUACGGGUGAGUAAUGCCUAGGUAUCUGCCUGGUAGUGGGGGAUACUGUCCGGAAACGGGCGCUAAUAUCGCAUACUUUCAGCUGAUCCUUGGUUGGAUUAGCGAGUUGGUGGGGUACUGGCCUACCAAUGCGGCGAUCCGGAACUGGUCUGAGAGGAUGAUCAGUCACAAUUGAAGUGAGACACGGUGCAGACUACUACGGGAGGCAGCAGAGGGGACUAUUGGACAAUGGGCGAAAGCCUGAUCCAGCCAUGGCGCGUGUGUGAAGAAGGUCGUCGGAGUGUAAGGCAAUUUAAGUUGGGAGGCGGUACCAGCAGAAUAAGAACCGGCUAACUUCGUGCCAGCCGCCGCGGUAAUAC
rnacentral:rRNA from 1 species